CGACGUGAGCAAUCUGCCUUUGGGUGGGGGAUAACAGCCGGAAACGACUGCUAAUACCGCAUGAUGCAGCGGGGGUCGCAUGAUUUUGCUGCCAAAGAUUUAUCGUCCAAAGAUGAGCUCGCGUCUGAUUAGCCAGUUGGCGGGGUAACGGCCCACCAAAGCGACGAUCAGUAGCCGGACUGAGAGGUUGAACGGCCACAUUGGGACUGAGACACGGCCCAGACUCCUACGGGAGGCAGCAG
rnacentral:rRNA from 1 species